CAGCUGCCGCGGGGAGUUGCUUCACACAGGGGCUUGCGGUUCCCCUGUAACGGCCGUGUGCUGUGGGCACAGCCCUCCCUGCCCUCCUCCCCGAGGCAGGGCUGACAUUCCCUCUCCCAGGCAAGUGCCAAGCCCCACCAAGCACCUGGGGCUGUGCUGGGCCCCCCGGGAGGAGCUGUUUCAUCAGGACCAGGGCUUUCGCACGCGAGAGCAGAGCCCCCGGCGAGAGCCACACUGAGACAGGCAGACGUGGUUCGCCCCCAGGGAAGGGGCAGCACCUCCAGGCAGCAUCUGCCUACGAUCCCAGCGAACCUCGUCCGGGUUCAGUUGUAGAGCAAGGCGCAGAGGAGCUGCUCCUGCCACUUAAGCAACUUCGCACAAUCGUCUGUAAUGGCAGAGCCAUCAGUGCUGCUUCCCCAUUCCUGCUUUGUCAUUCAGGGUCGAAUGGGAGUGCUCCAGCAUGAGGCAAAGACCACUGACACUGUACAUUUAAUUCAACUUACAAAAGGCUACUGAGUGUUAAAAGAAAACCGAAAAAAAUAAUCCCACAAAAGUCUUCCAGGUCUGUUUUGUCCCAGUUUUAAAUGGUAAAAUCUGUACUUUGUUCUCAGCUAUUGUUGCAAAAUUGAACCACUUUCAGCCUCUCACCUUAAAGGCUGCCUUCACGCAGAGCUGCUGAGUACAGCACGGAAUGAAAGCUCUCACUUGGCCUAGAAACCUCAAGUGUGUGAACCUCACUAAAACGCACACAGGGAGAUGGGCUUUGAAAUGGAGCAAAGCCAGAAGCCAGCGAGUCCCCACAGGAUGCCGUGUGGCUGCUCCCAAGAUGAGGAGUGCAACUCCAGCUGAGAGACACUCUGUACCUGACAGUCUCGUAAUGCCUCCCUGAUAACAGCCCUGGCCUAGAAAUAGCUCAGUGCUAGAUGAUGCUCUCAGGAGACUGAUGAAUGUCUCUGACUCUCUGCAGCAUCCCAGCAGCUGGCUCCUGCCUGGCCCCACUGCCCCUUGGCUUCUCAGCACCAGGGCCUGAUUUGAGGACCUGCAGCACCCUUGUCUGAUGAGCACUGAAGUUUUGUGUAAUCUCCCCCUGCUCUGACUGAUGCUGUCCCAGGGAGUCAGAGCUGUGCACUGUGUUAGCACUGCCUGGGAGAUGUCUGGCCUGGGUGAGGGGAUCCUCUCCCCUUCUUUCCAUACCAGACCCCGACCGGUCCCUGCAGUGCAGCAGGAACAGCCUGACCUCUGUAACCUGCCCCAGCUCAUAGCCCCGGGCUCCUGCAGCAGCACUGACUUCUCUGCAGUCACUCUAUAGGGGAAGUAAAAAUCUCCUGGUAUCUGUUUUAUCUGCAUCCAUCUUAAGCACUGGAGAACAGUGUUAUUGGAGCUCAGCAGAAGGGUAUUUUUUUUUUUACAUGAUUGAAACUAGAAUUAUAUGUACAAAGC